AGUGAACGCUGGCGGUAGGCCUAACACAUGCCAGUCGAACGGCAGCACAGUAAGAGCUUGCUCUUACGGGUGGCGAGUGGCGGACGGGUGAGGAAUACAUCGGAAUCUACUUUUUCGUGGGGGAUAACGUAGGGAAACUUACGCUAAUACCGCAUACGACCUACGGGUGAAAGCAGGGGAUCUUCGGACCUUGCGCGAUUGAAUGAGCCGAUGUCGGAUUAGCUAGUUGGCGGGGUAAAGGCCCACCAAGGCGACGAUCCGUAGCUGGUCUGAGAGGAUGAUCAGCCACACUGGAACUGAGACACGGUCCAGACUCCUACGGGAGGCAGCAGUGGGGAAUAUUGGACAAUGGGCGCAAGCCUGAUCCAGCCAUACCGCGUGGGCGAAGAAGGCCUUCGGGUUGUAAAGCCCUUUUGUUGGGAAAGAAAGGCAGCAGGUUAAUACCCCGCUGUUCUGACGGUACCCAAAGAAUAAGCACCGGCUAACUUCGUG
rnacentral:rRNA from 1 species